UUGCGUUUUAUGGCGGAAAAAUGGGUUUUCCAUGCAUAAUCUAUACAAAAUCUUGACAAUUUUGAAGAACCUGUAGCGUGAAAAUAAGUCCGGUGACCCAUUCUUUUUAUUAAUGUUUUUAAACAAGCAGGAUAUGAACUACAUUUUGGCAAAUUAUUAAAAGAUUCUAUGGAUUAUAAUUUAGACACCCCAUCUACCUUAACCCGAGUU
rnacentral:lncRNA from 1 species